rnacentral:lncRNA from 1 species
AUUGAACUUGAUGAAGUUCAAUCGGUAGAAGAACCGACACAAUCUAGUAAAUCCAUAGAGUUGAAUUUCAAUAGAUAAAACUCAAACCCUAUUGUAGAGAUAUCUUUGAAGAGAUCUGAUAGAGAAUCACAUCAGUCGGAUAGAUACUAUGAUUUUUUGAUUCGGGAUGAUGAUCAUGUUGAACAGAUGAGAACAACAAGGAUC